AUCCAGCUGACGAGUUUCAAAUGGGACGAAACCAGCGUUCCGGAU
rnacentral:hammerhead_ribozyme from 1 species